GCUUCCUUAGCUCAGUCGGUAGAGCGCGAGUCUCAUAUUUGAAAUAUGAUUCCACGUGGUGGAUGUCAUCUCGAGGUCGCAAGUUCGAGCCUUGCAGGGAGCA